GAUGAAGAACGCAGCGAAAUGCGAUACGUAAUGUGAAUUGCAGAAUUCAGUGAAUCAUCGAAUCUUUGAACGCACAUUGCGCUCUCUGGUAUUCCGGAGAGCAUGCUUGUUUGAGUAUCAGUAAACACCUCAACUCCUUUAUUGUAGUUGGACUUGAGCUAUCCCAACAGGACUUUUUGUUCCUGGCGGGAGGCUUGAAAUGCAGGUGCAGCUGGACUUUCUACUGAGCUAUAAGCAUAUUUAUUUAAUCCCUUAACACGGAUUAUUACUUUUUUGCUGCAGCUAACAUAAAGGUUGAAUUUCCAUUGAGCUGACUGAUGCAGGAAUUUGGCAAGGAAUUUUUUUAAUGACUUGUUAAACUCGAUCUCAAAUCAAGUAAGACUACCCGCUGAACUUAAGCAUAUCAAUAAGCGGAGGA
rnacentral:misc_RNA from 1 species